GCGCGCUUAACGCAUGCAAGUCGAGCGAUGAGGCUCCCUUCGGGGAGUACAUCAGCGGCAGACGGGUGAGUAACACGUAGAUAACCUACCCUCAAGACGGGGACAACCGGUGGAAACAGCGGCUAAUACCCGAUAUGCUCACAGGAUCGGGAGGUCGAGUGAGGAAAGGCUUCGGUGCUUGAGGAGGGAUCUGCGGCCCAUCAGCUAGUUGGUGAGGUAACGGCUCACCAAGGCGAAGACGGGUAGGGGGUGUGAGAGCAUGGCCCCCCACAAUGGGACUGAGACACGGCCCAUACUCCUACGGGAGGCAGCAGCGGGGAAUAUUGCGCAAUGGACGGAAGUCAGACGCAGCGACGCCGCGUGGGUGAGGAAGGCCUUCGGGUUGUAAAGCCCUUUUCAGGGGAGCGAGAAAGGACGGUACCCUUGGAAUAAGCGUCGGCUAACUACGUGCCAGCAGCCGCGGUAAGACGUAGGACGCAAGCGUUAUCCGGAUUUACUGGGCGUAAAGCGCCUGUAGGCGGUCAAGUAAGUCGGAUGUGAAAGCCCCGUGCUCAACGCGGGGAAGCCAUUCGAUACUGCGUGACUAGAGAACGGCAGAGGGAAACGGAAUUUCUGGUGUAGCGGUAAAAUGCGCAGAGAUCAGAAAGAACACCGAUGGCGAAGGCAGUUUCCUAGGCCGCAUCUGACGCUGAGAGGCGAAAGCUAGGGGAGCAAACAGGAUUAGAGACCCUGGUAGUCCUAGCUGUAAACGAUGGAUGCUAGGUGUGGGCCGGAAAGGUCCGUGCCGUAGUUAACGCGAUAAGCAUCCCGCCUGGGGAGUACGGCCGCAAGGCUAAAACUCAAACGAAUUGACGGGGACCCGCACAAGCAGCGGAGCGUGUGGUUUAAUUCGAUGCUACACGCAGAACCUUACCUGGGCUUGACAUGUAGGUGGUAGUGAAGUGAAAGCGGAGCGACCCUUCGGGGAGCCUACACAGGUGCUGCAUGGCUGUCGUCAGCUCGUGCCGUGAGGUGUCGGGUUAAGUCCCGUAACGAGCGCAACCCUUGUCCUUAGUUACAAGUGUCUAAGGAGACUGCCGGUGACAAACCGGAGGAAGGUGGGGAUGACGUCAAGU
rnacentral:rRNA from 1 species